rnacentral:rRNA from 1 species
GGGGAUAACUACUGGAAACGGUAGCUAAUACCGCAUAACGUCGCAAGACCGAAGAGGGGGACCUUCGGGCCUCUUGCCAUCGGAUGUGCCCAGAUGGGAUUAGCUUGUUGGUGGGGUAACGGCUCACCAAGGCGACGAUCCCUAGCUGGUCUGAGAGGAUGACCAGCCACACUGGAACUGAGACACGGUCCAGACUCCUACGGGAGGCAGCAGUGGGGAAUAUUGCACAAUGGGCGCAAGCCUGAUGCAGCCAUGCCGCGUGUAUGAAGAAGGCCUUCGGGUUGUAAAGUACUUUCAGCGGGGAGGAAGGGAGUAAAGUUAAUACCUUUGCUCAUUGACGUUACCCGCAGAAGAAGCACCGGCUAACUCCGUGCCAGCAGCCGCGGUAAUACGGAGGGUGCAAGCGUUAAUCGGAAUUACUGGGCGUAAAGCGCACGCAGGCGGUUUGUUAAGUCAGGUGUGAAAUCCCCGGGCUCAACCUGGGAACUGCAUCUGAUACUGGCAAGCUUGAGUCUCGUAGAGGGGGGUAGAAUUCCAGGUGUAGCGGUGAAAUGCGUAGAGAUCUGGAGGAAUACCGGUGGCGAAGGCGGCCCCCUGGACGAGGACUGACGCUCAGGUGCGAAAGCGUGGGGAGCAAACAGGAUUAGAUACCCU